rnacentral:sRNA from 1 species
AAAGCUGAUGGUAAUUAUGUACAAGCGCACAACCAUAUAGCUGCCUUGAAUGAACAAAUGAAACAGCUAAGAUCUUAUAUGGAAGAAAUACCAGAAUUAAUUAGAGAAACUCAAAAAGAAUUACCUGGUCAAUUCCAAGAUUUAAAAUAUGGUUGCCGUGAUCUUAAAGUUGAAGGGUAUGAUCUGGAUCACGU